AAUCAACGCUGGCGGCGUGCCUCAGACAUGCAAGUCGAACGAUUAAGACUUCCUUCGGGAAGUGUAUAAAGUGGCGCACGGGUGAGUAACACGUAAGUAAUCUACCUUCGAGUGGGGAAUAACAUCGGGAAACCGAUGCUAAUACCGCAUAAUGCAGCGGCAUCGCAAGAUGACAGUUGUUAAAGGAGCAAUUCGCUUGAAGAGGAGCUUGCGGCAGAUUAGCUAGUUGGUAAGGUAAUGGCUUACCAAGGCUACGAUCUGUAUCCGGUCUAAGAGGACGGUCGGACACACUGACACUGAAUAACGGGUCAGACUCCUACGGGAGGCAGCAGUCGGGAAUUUUGGGCAAUGGGCGAAAGCCUGACCCAGCAACGCCGCGUGAGGGAUGAAGUAUUUCGGUAUGUAACCCUCGAAAGAAUGGGAAGAAUAAAUGACGGUACCAUUUAUAAGCUCCGGCUAACUACGUGCCAGCAGCCGCGGUAACAC
rnacentral:rRNA from 1 species